CCCACGUGCGUGUGCAGAUAAACCAGGAGGAACAACUGGGGGGUGAGAUAGAACGCGCAACCCAGGGCUCUAACGGGGAAUUAAAGCCUCAAAACCUCUGAUUGAAAACACCUGUGGGGGUUGAGGUGACAGCACGAGAAACUCCC